rnacentral:rRNA from 1 species
AUCCAGCGAAUUCGGUAGAGAUACCUUAGUGCCUUCGGGAACGCUGAGACAGGUGCUGCAUGGCUGUCGUCAGCUCGUGUUGUGAAAUGUUGGGUUAAGUCCCGCAACGAGCGCAACCCUUAUCCUUUGUUGCCAGCGGUCCGGCCGGGAACUCAAAGGAGACUGCCAGUGAUAAACUGGAGGAAGGUGGGGAUGACGUCAAGUCAUCAUGGCCCUUACGAGUAGGGCUACACACGUGCUACAAUGGCGCAUACAAAGAGAAGCGACCUCGCGAGAGCAAGCGGACCUCAUAAAGUGCGUCGUAGUCCGGAUUGGAGUCUGCAACUCGACUCCAUGAAGUCGGAAUCGCUAGUAAUCGUAGAUCAGAAUGCUACGGUGAAUACGUUCCCGGGCCUUGUACACACCGCCCGUCACACCAUGGGAGUGGGUUGCAAAAGAAGUAGGUAGCUUAACCUUCGGGAGGGCGCUUACCACUUUGUGAUUCAUGACUGGGGUGAAGUCGUAACAAGGUAGGCGUAGAUGA